rnacentral:rRNA from 1 species
GACGAACCGUGCGAACGUUGUUCGGAUUCACUGGGCGUAAAGGGCGCGUAGGCGGAUGGUCAAGUCGGGGGUGAAAUCUUUCAGCUUAACUGGAAAAGUGCCUCCGAUACUGAUCGUCUCGAGGGAGGUAGGGGCAUGUGGAACUUCCGGUGGAGCGGUGAAAUGCGUAGAUAUCGGAAGGAACGCCGGUGGCGAAAGCGACGUGCUGGACCUCUUCUGACGCUGAGGCGCGAAAGCUAGGGGAGCAAACGGG